rnacentral:lncRNA from 1 species
UUCCAUCAAACCGAUACUUGAAGCACGGACCUCAACCUGAGCGAUGCCAGGGGAUAUCCCUCUAGCUAAUUUUAGUUCAUUACACUGAAACAUGUAAGAAAAAUUAAGAUGUGUAUAUAUAUAUAUAUAUGUGUGUGUGUGUGUGUGUGUGUGUGUGUGCAUAUAAGUUAAGUCCACCAUUAUAUCCUACUUAAGUUCUAUGUUUAUGUGAUAGGUGAAUGAGUACUCAUCUCUCAAAGAUGGACCUUUAUACUCCUGGGGUGAACUGAGUCCAGGGUCCUUUUUCGUCCGCCUUGGAGGCUUGUGGUUAAUGACUUUCACAGUUCUGGGAGCACCAAUUGCAGCUGCCAGCUUCAAUCCUUCAAGGGUAAAACAAUUUUAAAGACUCCCUUCUGAGUAUUAAUAUCAUAAGGCAGCACAUCCCCCUCAUGUACAUAUGUACAUUUACACUUUCUAAAACAAAGGAUUAGUGCCUCUGUAAACACUGUUCAUAUAGUCAUACUUGUAGUCCAAAACGAGAAAACUUUGUGAUAUGAACAAUAAGACUCAUCAACCAGCACAAGAAGUUAAAAUUGUCAUUUCUCAAGAAGUAUUGCUACUGCUGUUUAUAAUUUUGCUAAUAUUGUCUCACCCUUCCUGCAGGAACCAUUACGAUUUGCCCUUGCAGCUGGAACAGGAACUCUAUUUCUUGUAGCACUGAUUGUCCUAAGGAUUUACCUGGUACAUUUCCUUAAUGUUACAGUGAUAUCAUUAUUGCUCUUCAUAACUAGUAUAGAAAGAGGGCAAAGACAGAACAUCUUCACGAGUAACAGAAAUAAACAGUACAGUUAAAAUUAUAAAAAAAAAUGUAGGCAUUAAUUGAGUUUCCAUGCUAACCGCAGCAAGUAUAGCAUACUGGUAUAAGCUCUCAUUUAUCUCCCAGGUGUUUACCAAUCUGAAAAUUAUUCUUAUGGAAUUGUAAGAUAUUUCCCCUUCCCAGUUAUCCUGCCCGUCUUUAAUCAACUAGAACCUCGUCAAUCUAGUGCUAAAUUAGUGUCAAUGUUACUAUAACUUAUGAAUUGCGUUAUACAUAUUGCAGGGAUGGAGUUAUGUUGGUGAUAGACUUUUAUCAGCAGUGAUACCUUACGAAGAGAGUGGAUGGUAUGAUGGACAAAUGUGGGUAAAGCCACCUGAGGUUAGAGCCUUAUCAUUUAAUCAUGUAGAAGGAUUUCAGUGAAGCCAGGAAUUGAGUUAUGGCAUUUAGUUUUGCUACAAAGUUACUAUCAAAUCAUAAUAACCCGGACACUAAGACUGAGUGGUAGAAUAGAAGAAACAAUCAACUACUGGUACACAAGUGCAGCUCAGGAAAAAAAAUGGAGAAAAGGGAAGGGGAGGGGGGAAUAGUAGUCAGACCUCUAAUGAAACAUGGAAAGGGGAGACAACCACGAUAACUAUCAGUUUUCUCAGAAUUACUCUGCAAAAUUGUUUCCAAAUUGAGUUAUGUUCCACAAACCAGUCAUUAAUGUGAAUCCCUUUGUAACAUGGAGCUGGAGAGCAUAUAGCUGGAGAGCACUACAUGCUCUUCAGUUACCAACAAAAGCAAAGUUCAUGCUACUCAAUUUAACUACAUAAAUUAAAGCUCCAGCGAAGAGAAACUUUACACAACGCAUAUUGUCAAAAUUUUAACUACAAGUACGACCUUGGAAUUAACUAUAACGUAGAUUGAGAAAGAGUGAGUCAUCUACUGAGUGGUUCACAACCAUACUGAAUAGUCGGUAAAUGAAUAAUCAUUAUUGGUGAAUAGAUAACGUGACUCCAGUAGAAAGGAAAUAACUAUAUUCUCUCUGCAUAGCAGCCUCAUCAAGAGUAUCAUAUGUAUCCUUUGUGCAAUUUCAACUCAUCUAAUGAUACAUUUUAAUUGCUUUCCUCCUAGCAGAUUCUGGCUCGUGACAGAUUAUUGGGCUCAUAUAAGGUACCAAGAAAAGAGCAAGAUGGCUUUGAUUAGUAAUUAGCAAUUUUGUCUGACUAUGCAACAUGCAUGUAUGCACACACAAAUGCAGAAUCCCAAAUAACUGGAUAUGUUUCAUUUGCUUUCUGAUUUCCAAUUACAAAUUUAAGAAUUAUACGUGCACUUCUGUUUACUCUGUAUUCUCAUAUCUGAAUAAAAAUUUGAUAAACAUAUGGAAAACUUAUGCAUCCAGGUCAAACCAGUCAUCAAAAUGCUGAAACAAACACUAGUUGGAACGGGGGCCCUACUUGUUACAGCAGUCUUUUUAUUCAUCUUUGCUACACCGGUGGAGGAUUUCUUCAGACCAGUUACACUGCAAAAGAGAACACGUCCGAUAUUUCAGCCUCAAUGAUCAGCACAAAGUUUAACAUACGGUAUGUUAGCAAAUAGAUUGGGAUACAAAACCUAUAAUUUGGCAUGUACUUAUUUAUUUUAUAUUCAUAUUUUUAAGCAACUUCAACUGAAGUUUCUUUGAAAAGAGGAGUUAAUAAGAUUGCCAGCAGAAGUGGUGACUGAUGAUAAUCUAGCAGCAGCUGCUGCUGAUGGAAGGCCAGUCUACUGCAGAGACAGGUAUCAUCGCGUAUUGGCGGGCAGUCAGUAUUGCAAAUGGGAGGACUUACUUAAAGUAAUGAAGAGGAAAACUAGAUACUAGAUUGUAUUUGUUUUAGAUUUCAUAUAGAAUUUGUAAUCAUCUUUAAUUAACAGAGUAAAACAUUUUUAAAAUCUCAUUCCUUUACGCUGGGGAAACAGUUCUGACGAUAAAGAUAAAUUUAAAAAUUAGAAUGCUGAGGAAUGAAUAUUGUAUGAACUAUGGAUUAUAAAGUACAAGAUAUAUUUCUGCAAGCAUCCUAAAUUUAGAAUGAAUUUAUUUAGGAUUAAUACCCUGAACUUUUAAAAAAAAAUUCCCACUUUUGGAUCGUCUUCGCACUUUUUUUCAAUUAAGAGAUUAAACUUUUAAUUUUUUAUGAUUACGUCUAAUUGAUAGUGUCACGUCAGAAAAUUGAUGACAUGAUAGCGACAGGCGAUUAAAAAAUACUUGUGUAAUAUUGAGUCUCAUUUUAACAUUUAUGACUCAAUAUUACACAUAAGUAUUUUUUAAUCGCGUGUCGCUAUCAUGCCAUCAAUUUUCUGUGACUAUCAAUUUAAACGUAAUUAGAAAAAUUUAAAAGUUUAAUCCUCGAAUGGAAAAAAUUGAGAAGACAAUCUCCAAAAUGAAAAAAAAUUAAAAGUUUAAUCCUCUAAUUAGAAAAAAUGAAAAGACAAUCUUCAAAGUGGAAAAACAUUAAAAAUUCAUGGUAUUUAUGCGUUUGUGAAAACACAGUUGGACUUAAAUUUAGUAUAUUCUGGGCUGUAUCUAAGCAAGUCGAAUGCGUAGAACAAGCAGUAAGAUAUAAAUAAAUAGUAAGUCUGAUACUAAUAAUAAAAAAAUGUAGUAUAAUUUUUUUUUAUUAAUUUGAUGAUCCCAAUUAAACUAGUUAAAUUUGAACCAUAAACUAGUUUUUGUAAGAGUUUUAGCAGGAAAUUGUCCGGGGAAAUACAUUCUCAAACUGAAAACAAACAAAUAAUGGGUCAAGAUCAGUUGAGACAAAUUAAAUCCCUGCCGUGUUUUCCGCUAAUGCUAACACCUCGUACGUAUAACAUCAAGAUUCCUGACUCAUGGCAUGUAUGUGGAGUAUAAUCAAAGGAGAGCAUGCAAUGGAGAAUGUCAUAUAUAUAUAUAUAUAUAUAUAUAUAUAUAUAAAGGUUAAUGUUUUUUGUCUUAAACAAAACAAAGUAGAAAUUAAGCACAAAUAUUACUAAAAUGGAAAAGAAUACUGGAAAUGAGCAAAGAAAGAAUGAAGAAGGGGUACCAACGGAGAGCAGUCCGUACACACAGUAUAAAGACUUGGAGGAUUACAAGAAACAGGGUUACGGCACUGAGGGCCACAUCCAGCCCCAGCCUGGUCGUGGCGCAGCUGCCUCCACUGACGCCCCCACCGCCGCUGUCUCUUCUCAGCCUCAACUAAUUUCCAAUGAUAAAAUCAACCGCCAAGGUGUUCCUUAAUUAAUUUUGGUAAUAAGUAGUACUAGUACUAUUUUAAUUUGUAAGAUCAUACACAGAGAGAGAGAGAGAGUGCGUGUUUUCUCGGUGUAUGGAUUUCUUUUUUGGAUUAAUGUUGUAUGGUUUCUCUCAUUAAAGGAGUAGAGAUUCAGACAUUAUUAUUACUCCGGCCGGCCAUCCUCUGGGGAAAAAAAUCUAAUUUAUAAAUGUUGUUUUUGUUUAUUCGUAUAAGUUAGUAGUACUACUUAAGUAGUAG